UGGGGAAUUUUGGACAAUGGGCGAAAGCCUGAUCCAGCAAUGCCGCGUGUGUGAAGAAGGCCUUCGGGUUGUAAAGCACUUUUGUCCGGAAAGAAAUCCUUGGCUCUAAUACAGUCGGGGGACGACGGUACCGGAAGAAUAAGCACCGGCUAACUACGUGCCAGCAGCCGCGGUAAUACGUAGGGUGCAAGCGUUAAUCGGAAUUACUGGGCGUAAAGCGUGCGCAGGCGGUUUGCUAAGACCGAUGUGAAAUCCCCGGGCUCAACCUGGGAACUGCAUUGGUGACUGGCAGGCUAGAGUAUGGCAGAGGGGGGUAGAAUUCCACGUGUAGCAGUGAAAUGCGUAGAGAUGUGGAGGAAUACCGAUGGCGAAGGCAGCCCCCUGGGCCAAUACUGACGCUCAUGCACGAAAGCGUGGGGAGCAAACAGGAUUAGAUACCCUGGUAGUCCACGCCCUAAACGAUGUCAACUAGUUGUUGGGGAUUCAUUUCCUUAGUAACGUAGCUAACGCGUGAAGUUGACCGCCUGGGGAGUACGGUCGCAAGAUUAAAACUUAAAUGAAUUGACGGGGUCAUAGCUG
rnacentral:rRNA from 1 species